UGGCUCAGGACGACGCUGGCGGUGUGCUUCACACAUGCAAGUCGAACGAGGUAGCAAUACCUAGUGGCGGACGGGUGAGUAACGCGUGGGAAUCUGCCUUUAGAUGGGGGAUAACGGGUCGAAAGACUCGCUAAUACCGCAUAUGACGAAAGUUGAAAGGAGUAAUCCGUCUAAAGAUGAGCCCGCGUCCGAUUAGCUAGUUGGUAGAGUAAAAGCCUACCAAGGCGACGAUCGGUAGCUGGUCUGAGAGGAUGAUCAGCCACAAUGGGACUGAGACGCGGCCCAUACUCCUACGGGAGGCAGCAGUGGGGAAUUUUACGCAAUGGGCGAAAGCCUGACGUAGCGACACCGCGUGAGCGAAGAAGCCCCUUGGGGUGUAAAGCUCUGUCAGCUGGAACGAAAAAAUGACGGUACCAGCAGAGGAAGCACCGGCUAACUACGUG
rnacentral:rRNA from 1 species